AACGAACGCUGGCGGCGUGCCUAACACAUGCAAGUCGAACGGAAUUGAGGUGCUUGCACUUCAAUUUAGUGGCGCACGGGUGAGUAACGCGUAGAUAAUCUGCCUGAUGAUCUGGGAUAACACUUCGAAAGAGGUGCUAAUACCGGAUAAGCCCACGGGGUCUUUGGACUCUGCGGGAAAAGGGGGGCCUUCGGGCCUUCUGUCAUCAGAUGAGUCUGCGUACCAUUAGCUAGUUGGUAGGGUAAUGGCCUACCAAGGCUACGAUGGUUAGCUGGUCUGAGAGGAUGAUCAGCCACACUGGAACUGAGACACGGUCCAGACACCUACGGGAGGCAG
rnacentral:rRNA from 1 species